AUGGAGAAGCACACGAUCCGGAUUGCUGCGCUGACCCUGUUAUCUGUACACCUCCUAUGCUCCGCCACCAUAGCGCAAUGCCAAACCAUCGCGGCUGGCGUGGACAACGGCGAUAUCAAUGAAAUAAUUUGUUGCCGUAAAAAGUGCAACUUCUUUAAUUGUUGUGCCUGUUGUAUUUAUACUGACUGGUGCUACUCAAGUUUCGAGAGGUGCAAUAGAAACUGCUUGGUCACCUUCUCGCAUUCUGAUGAAAUGCUAGCCGCGACCAAGGUGACCCCUGAAACUGUGCUGACCAGGUCUGCAGUACGCACGGACAGCUUAAUGAGAGGUGUCAUCCCAGAAGAGUUCGGCGAUUGUCAUGUGUAG
rnacentral:rRNA from 1 species